GGUUAUGGAUGGGCAUGCGUUGUAUUAGCUAGUUGGAGAGGUAACGGCUCACCAAGGCGACGAUACAUAGGGGGACUGAGAGGUUAACCCCCCACAUUGGUACUGAGACACGGACCAAACUCCUACGGGAGGCAGCAGUGAGGAAUAUUGGUCAAUGGACGGAAGUCUGAACCAGCCAUGCCGCGUGCAGGAUGACGGCUCUAUGAGUUGUAAACUGCUUUUGUACGAGGGUAAACCCGAAUACGUGUAUUCGGCUGAAAGUAUCGUACGAAUAAGGAUCGGCUAACUCCGUGCCAGCAGCCGCGGUAAUACGGAGGAUCCAAGCGUUAUCCGGAUUUAUUGGGUUUAAAGGG
rnacentral:rRNA from 1 species